ensembl:lncRNA
GGCCUGGGUAGAUCAUGAAUGUCGUGGGCCUGGGUAGAUAAUGAAUGUCGUGGGCCUGGGUAGAUAAUGAAUGUCGCGGGCCUGGGUCGGUUAUGAAUGUCGCGGGCCUGGGUCGGUAAUGAAUGUCGUGGGCCUGGGUAGGUGAUGAAUGUCGUGGGCCUGAAUGUUGUGGGCCUGGGUCGGUAAUGAAUGUCGUGGGCCUGGGUAGGUAAUGAAUGUCGUGGGCCUGAAUGUUGUGGGCCUGGGUAGGUAAUGAAUGUCGUGGGCCUGAAUGUCGCGGGCCUGGGUCGGUAAUGAAUGUCGUGGGCCUGGGUAGGUAAUGAAUGUCGUGGGCCUGAAUGUUGUGGGCCUGGGUAUGUAAUUAAUGUCGUAGGCCUGGGUAGAUCAUGAAUGUUGCGGGCCUGAAUGUCGUGGGCCUGGGUAGGUAAUGAAUGUCGUGGGCCUGGGUAGAUCAUGAAUGUCAUGGGCCUGAAUGUCGUGGGCCUGGGUAGGUAAUGAAUGUCGCGGGCCUGGGUAGGUAAUGAAUGCCGUGGGCCUGGGUAGG